GGAGGGAGUGACUAGUGACAGAGUGAGGGAGCGGGUGACACAGUGACAGAGUUAGGGAGGGAGUGACUAGUGACAGAGAGAGGGAUGGGGUGACUAGUGACAGUCACCACCUCCCUCCGUCACUGUGUCACCCCCUCCCUCACUCUGUCACCAGUCAUCCCCUUACUCUGUCACUAGUCAUCCCUCCCUUCCCUCACUCUGCCACUAGUCACCCCUUCCCUCAC